CGUAACAAGGUCUCCGUAGGUGAACCUGCGGAGGGAUCAUUACACAAAUAUGAAGGCGGGCUGGAACCUCUCGGGGUUACAGCCUUGCUGAAUUAUUCACCCUUGUCUUUUGCGUACUUCUUGUUUCCUUGGUGGGUUCGCCCACCACUAGGACAAACAUAAACCUUUUGUAAUUGCAAUCAGCGUCAGUAACAAAUUAAUAAUUACAACUUUCAACGACGGAUCUCUUGGUUCUGGCAUCGAUGAAGAACGCAGCGAAAUGCGAUAAGUAGUGUGAAUUGCAGAAUUCAGUGAAUCAUCGAAUCUUUGAACGCACAUUGCGCCCUUUGGUAUUCCAAAGGGCAUGCCUGUUCGAGCGUCAUUUGUACCCUCAAGCUUUGCUUGGUGUUGGGCGUCUUGUCUCUAGCUUUGCUGGAGACUCGCCUUAAAGUAAUUGGCAGCCGGCCUACUGGUUUCGGAGCGCAGCACAAGUCGCACUCUCUAUCAGCAAAGGUCUAGCAUCCAUUAAGCCUUUUUUUCAACUUUUGACCUCGGAUCAGGUAGGGAUACCCGCUGAGCUUAAGCAUAUCA
rnacentral:rRNA from 1 species